AUCUAGCUGACGAGUCCCUUAUAGGACGAAACGCGCUACCCGGAU
rfam:Schistosoma mattheei strain Denwood, Zambia genome assembly, scaffold: SMTD_scaffold0021288